CGCGCGCACAGAGGUCACCGGUGCUGGGUGUCUUCCCCACAUGGGUAGUGAACUCAGGGCAUCAUGAUUUAGAGAUGGGGGCUCGCGUGACCCGCGCCUUCAGGAACUUCAACGUGGAGGAGCGAGCGGAGCGGGAGAUCAGCAAGAGGAAGCCCUCCAUGGCACCCAAGCACCCUUCCACCCGCGGCCUCCUGCAGGAGCACCUGAGUCAGUAUCCAGAAAUCGAAGAAGUUGUUUCUAGAAAGGAUAACAAGCUGCUGUCAUUGCUAAGAGAUGUAUAUGUCGAUUCCAAAGAUCCGGUGCCUGCCUUGCGGGUAAAAGUUGAACCACCACAAGAACCAAAGGAAUUCAGACUGCCGAUAGGAGAUCACUUUGAUAAGAAUAUCAUGGACAUUCCCAAAGGCAAGAUUACUGUUAUAGAGGCAUUGACCCUUCUCAAUAACCAUAAACUCUCUCCAGAAACAUGGACUGCUGAGAAAAUUGCCCAAGGAUACCAUUUAGAACUGAAGGAUGUAAAUUCUCUUCUCAAAUAUUUUGUUACUUUUGAAGUCAAAGUCUUACCUCCAGAAGACAGGAAAGCAAUACAAUCAAAAUGAAGAAAAUCACGAAACAACUUCCCAUGUAUGUGCUCCCAAGCUCCGAGCCCUUGUUUUUCGUGUAUUAAGUUAUACAAGUUACUGUGAGUUGAGGGCCAUAACGUUGAAAGCUCUUUGACCUCUUCAGGAUUGUUCAUAUAAUUUUUUUUUAAUUUAUAUAUGUGUAGUUCCUGGGUAUAUGUUAGCCGUAUUGAUCAUGUUGCCUGAAUGAGUCGAUAUUAAAUUUCACUUUCCAGUUUA